CUGAGCCGAGGAUGAUUUAACGUUAUCCCUGUCUGAAUGGCCUUCCUUGGUGAAGAGUUCUGACUUGCUGAGGCUCAG